rnacentral:rRNA from 1 species
CCUACGGGGGGCAGCAGUGAGGAAUAUUGGUCAAUGGACGCGAGUCUGAACCAGCCAUGCCGCGUGCAGGAAGACUGCUCUAUGAGUUGUAAACUUCUUUUGUACGAGGGUAAACGCAGAUACGCGUACCUGUCUGAAAGUAUCGUAUGAAUAAGGAUCGGCUAACUCCGUGCCAGCAGCCGCGGUAAUACGGAGGAUUCAAGCGUUAUCCGGAUUUAUUGGGUUUAAAGGGUGCGUAGGCGGGUGGUUAAGUUAGGUGUGAAAUGCUGAGGCUCAACUGCGGAAUUGCAUGUGAUACUGGUAGUCUAGAGAGUAGUUGAGGUAGGCGGAAUGUAUGGUGUAGCGGUGAAAUGCUUAGAGAUCAUACAGAACACCGAUUGCGAAGGCAGCUUACCAAGCUACUUCUGACGUUGAGGCACGAAAGCGUGGGUAGCAAACAGGAUUAGAUACCCUUGUAGUC